rnacentral:lncRNA from 1 species
CUGGUGUCGUCAUCAGUUUCAGAAGCAUAUCCUUCAUUCUCUUCAUUAUUUGUCCCGUGUAGAAUAUCUUCCUGAUCUUCAUUGUCUAAUGCAGUGUUGGCUUCAACACUUUUCUUUCCAACAUCUUCUCCUGUCCAACGAGAAGCAACAAGCCUGCCUAAUUCUUCCUUUGACAAUCCAUCAGUAUUCUCAGAUGCUUCUUUCCCCUAAAGAUAUGUAUAUACCCACAAAGAGAAAAGAAAAAACAUAAAUGAAAAGUGGGGGAAAAUUGUGAAUUUAUUUCUGAACUAAACUAUUAUACAUAACUUCAAGCAAUCUAUCUGUUCAUAUAGGAAAAAAAGAUUUCCCUUGUGAGCAGGAGAUAUCAGAAGUGAAUACGAGUUCCACAAGGCACAAAGUUUGAUUUUUGAACGCCGCCAAAAUUUGAUAUUUUUAUACUUAUAUUCGAGACCGCAAGGAGUACAAGGUUUAAGUACAGAAGAGGAAGAAAAGAAAGAAGAAUAACAAUUAAUGUUUCCAUGAUUGUUUGGUGGCUGAACAAUCCUGUUCCUAUCCCUGAAUUCAAUUCGAUAGGAUUGGGUGGGAUUGUGCCAGCUCAUGGAAACCGUGGGAAACAGAGAUACUCCAACAUUUGUUUGGUCCCCAUUUUCCAGUUGGUGGAGCAGGUAAUCAAUUCAAAAAACCUAUCCCUAGCACAUUAUCAAUAAAAUUCCCUAAUCUGAAACCUGAUAGACCUGAGACUAUUGUCCUAUUUUGUUGGCGUGAGACCUGCGAUGCUACCUGAAACCUUGGUGCAGUGGACUUGUGGUGCUGCAAGUAAAAGCUCGGUGAGUCUCAAACCUUGACUCUGCAUCUUCGAGUGAUGUGACCUGCGAGUGGCUCGUAUUUAAGUGCUUUGUGGUGUGUGGGUAAUGUAUGUAGACCGACCGACUCUCUUGUUGUGUUUGAGUGCUAUAUUUAUUUGUUUUUCGUUUAGCUCUGUUGGCCGGGAGCAAAUUAAUAGGGCUGUAUGACCUUUAUUUGUGAUUGGUGUUUAUUUAUUUUAAAUUGGAGUUUAUUUAUAUAAAAACACUGAUAGGAUAAUGAGGAGUUUGUUAUGAUAUGAGAUAAGGAGCAGUUAGUAACAAUAUAGGAUAAUGAGUAGUAGUUAGAGAAGUUAGUUGGUAUUGAUUAGUUAAAAAAGUUUCAUGUACAAAUAGGAGAAUACAUGAAUAGAGGAGGGGAUUCAUUCAGAUUUGUAAACUUUUGUGAAUAGAGUAAUCUGUCUAUUGUAGAAGGGGAAAUCCUAGGAGGGUAUAUUUCUCCCCUAUUAACUCUCUAUCUUUUGUUCUAAAUCUUUCAAUAAAAUAGUUAUUUAUUUUGAGUUCAAUUUCUUGGUUCCUAACACACUCACAAUGGUAAUUUUCCAUGAAGGAAGACAGAUAAUUCCAUGAUAUGUUUUUUUCUGCUAAUAAGUUUUUCGAUAUUGAGGAUAUCUUUGUUGUAGGUGUAAUGUAUAUAAAAGGAUAAGGAUUAGUUUUUGUCGUCGUAUCGUGCAUCCGUUUUAGCUAAAUACAC